AUACCCAAGAUAGAAGAAAUGUCAAUGGCAUCAAUGGAAAAUCAUAUCUAGACAAUAAGACAACCUUUACUUCUUCUUUUUCUUCUUCUUUUAUGAGAACUGCAACCUUCACUUCAAUAUGUGACUUCCAAUAGCGUAUUAUAUCUUUGCCCAAAAAUAAGCAAAGAUUGUCAGCUAAAAAGACCAAUAGACGUUUCUCACUAAUGCUACAAAUAUAAAAACAGGAAACAACGUCAAUUUUACCCUCUAACAAUGUAGCACAGAUACUUUGUCGGAGUCACUUCCCAGUGUUGGACACUUGUCGGAUACUAACAAUCUCCGGACAUUCUCCGGACACGUGUCAAACACUCAAAUCCAAAGUGUCCUAUUUUUCUCAACCAUUUUUGUUUGGACGCUCUGAGGACACUCUAAAAAGAGCUACGGACACUCUCGGGACACUAAAAUAAAGUCGGUGGAGUUAUACGAAAUAGUAGACUCUAAUUAGAACUUCCAAGAGUCUUAUUUUUUAGGUGAUGAAUGAUGGUUUACAUUGAUUAUAAAGAGUCAUAAAUGAGGGAAAUGCCUAUUGUCGUAAUACUUUUGGGAAUGAUGUAAUGAUAAAUAUCGUUUAAGCCUUUAAGGUAUAUAUGGUGUCACACAUUUACAACUAGAGCCUUACUCCUUGUUUUCCAUUCUACAACAUUUUAAUACUUUUUAAAAUGUGUCCCCAGCA